GAGGCAACGAGCUCUCUUUGCUGCGUGUCCAUUGAGCAGUGGAGUGGUCGCAUCAAAAAGAUCCGUGUGGUGAGGAGGAGAAAGGAAAGUUGGAAGCACCGAGAGGCGGAAGAAAGCCAAGAGUGUGAAGGGACUGCGGCAAGAGCGGAGCCCUGCGCGGCGGCAUCUGGGGGUUGCCUGGGGCUUUCGGAGCCUCAAUGACGCCUGGUCACGGAUUCCAAAACGGGGAGCCACGGGAGGGCCGCACACCGCCGCUUGUGCACCGGGAAGGCAGGGGCUGAAGAAUCCCUGCGAUGACAUCGAAGCGGCACACACACACGCUGACACACAAGCGCUGCAAAACAGGCACUCCUACUCGGGGACACGCGGUCAACAAUAUGGUGUGUUUCCGGAGCACUCAUGCUCGCUUGACUCUCGAGAGGAGAAGCUGGGAGACGGGGGUUCGCCCCUGUCUGCUGGAGAGGAGCGAGAGGGGGAAAUUCUUCUUGUAUUUGGACACCAGAGGGGCAUCAAAUUAAAGACGCUCCGGAAAAGAAGCACUGCAAAAUCUCCACCGCCUGUGCGCCGCACGAUAGUUAACGUGAUCACAAUAGGAAGAUGCACAAUAAAGGAUUUCAAGCAGCGAAUGUAUGCAUUUGGGCAGCCGACGUCCAUCUUGUUCUGUUGUAGCCUCGCAGCUGAACGCGACUUGGAGUUGCCGCUUCCCUUUGGCAUCCAAUGAAGUUCCAGCGUGCCACGGUUGUCAUCAUGUAUGGAAUGGAGGGAGACCCUCUCACAUUCAUGGGAUGCCCAACGCUUGCUCAGUAGUCAGUGUAGAUCCUGUGGGGCUGACAGCAGCUACAUCUGGCUACUGGGUCUCCGUUGGCCAUCUGAGGAUGCUUUUGAAGGUUUAUCUCGUGACCGAGCUCCCAUUAAACAUACUAUAUGGGCUGAAUGUCAAUGCUCAAGUAACUGAGGGAAACAUUUGGGGUAAUUUCUGGACCUGGCAUACAGUGUAGGACUCUGUGUGUCAGUCUACAGCUACAUUGUCUGCUGGGUUUCAGACAUUACUUUGCACAGGUGCUAUUUUCAGUGCUUCCACUUUUAGUUGUGAGAAAAAUGUCCGAAAUUGGAGGAAGCGGAGGCAGUUGCAGAUGAUUUGACAACUUUGUGUUUAUUGACUCAUAAAACAUUCUUCAAACAAUAAAACAAUUUUAAAUGUC